GUCUGUCUGUCUCUGAAAUCUUACAUAUAAAAUUCUUGUCACAAUGUUAGUUAACAUACUCGUCCGAAACGGCUGGACCGAUUUUUAUGAAAUUUUGUGUGCAUAUCGGGUAGGUCUGAGAAUCGGUCAACAUCUAUUUUUCAUACCCUAAGUUGUAAAGGGGAAGGGAUUAAGGGAGUUAAUAACAUAUAUGGCAAAACAACGUUUGUGGAAUCAGCUAGUAUAUAUAUGCGCUUCAGCCAGAACCUAGACCACGGCAAACACCUGUAUGACACAAAUGUUUGUCAUGUGCGGGGAUUGCAUCCGCAACCGCCAGCGCAACA
rnacentral:misc_RNA from 1 species